AUUGAACGCUGGCGGCAUGCUUUACACAUGCAAGUCGAACGGUAACAGGUCUUCGGAUGCUGACGAGUGGCGAACGGGUGAGUAAUACAUCGGAACGUGCCUAGUAGUGGGGGAUAACUACUCGAAAGAGUAGCUAAUGCCGCAUGAGAUCUACGGAUGAAAGCAGGGGACCUUCGGGCCUUGUGCUACUAGAGCGGCUGAUGGCAGAUUAGGUAGUUGGUGGGGUAAAGGCUUACCAAGCCUGCGAUCUGUAGCUGGUCUGAGAGGACGACCAGCCACACUGGGACUGAGACACGGCCCAGACUCCUACGGGAGGCAGCAGUGGGGAAUUUUGGACAAUGGGCGAAAGCCUGAUCCAGCAAUGCCGCGUGCAGGAUGAAGGCCCUCGGGUUGUAAACUGCUUUUGUACGGAACGAAAAGCCUGGGGCUAAUAUCCCCGGGUCAUGACGGUACCGUAAGAAUAAGCACCGGCUAACUACGU
rnacentral:rRNA from 1 species